rnacentral:snRNA from 1 species
GGAUGUGAGGGCCAUCUGACUGCAAUAUCUGUCAGCCCACUGAUGACCAGGGUUGAUUCAGGGCAUCUGGCUGGCUAGGCUGGAGGCCCUUCCUCCCUCACCACUUCAGCUUCAUGUUCAUCCCUUCCAAAGCUGCUCGUUUAGUCGAAGGGAACAGCCUUCCCUGAAUAGAGACAGACUGGUCUUUAGUCAAGGAUAUAUGAGUAGCUGCACGCCCCUGCUAGAACCUCCAAACAAGCUCUCAAAAAAACAACUUUGAUCCAUUCUCCCAGUUUGGGAGAAGUGAUAGGAUGAAAAUAAGAGGACUCUGAACUCCAGCU